UACGUAGGGUCCAAGCGUUGUUCGGAAUUACUGGGCGUAAAGCGCGCGUAGGCGGGUUCAUAAGUCGAUUGUGAAAUCCCAGGGCUCAACCUUGGAACUGCAGUCGAAACUGUGAAUCUUGAGUGCCUGAGAGGAUGGCGGAAUUCCCGGUGUAGUAGUGAAAUACGUAGAUAUCGGGAAGAACACCUGAGGCGAAGGCGGCUAUCUGGCGGUGCACUGACGCUGAGGCGCGAAAGCGUGGGGAGCAAACAGG
rnacentral:rRNA from 1 species